GUGGGGAAUCUUCCACAAUGGGGGCAACCCUGAUGGAGCAACACCGCGUGCUGGAUGAAGGCCUUCGGGUCGUAAACAGCUUUUGUAUACGAAGAAUAUGACGGUAAUAUACGAAUAAGGGUCGGCUAACUACGUGCCAGCAGCCGCGGUCAUACGUAGGACCCAAGCGUUAUCCGGAGUGACUGGGCGUAAAGAGUUGCGUAGGCGGCUUAUUAAGCGAGUAGUGAAAUCUGGUGGCUCAACCAUCAACACAUUACUCGAACUGAUAGGCUUGAGAAUGGUAGAGGUAGUUGGAAUUUCUUGUGUAGGAGUGAAAUCCGUAGAUAUAAGAAGGAACACCAAUGGCGUAGGCAGACUACUGGACCAUUUCUGACGCUGAGGCACGAAAGCGUGGGGAGCGAACCGGAUUAGAAACCCGGGUAGUCC
rnacentral:rRNA from 1 species